rnacentral:tRNA from 1 species
CGGGGCGUGGCCUAGUUGGCUCAAGGCGUCGGGCUGGGGGUCCGAAGAUCGCAGGUUCAAAUCCUGUCGCCCCGACCA